AGCUACAGGCUUAACACAUGCAAGUCGAGGGGAAACGACAUCGAAAGCUUGCUUUUGAUGGGCGUCGACCGGCGCACGGGUGAGUAACGCGUAUCCAACCUGCCCACCACUUGGGGAUAACCUUGCGAAAGUAAGACUAAUACCCAAUGACGUCUCUAGAAGACAUCUGAAGGAGAUUAAAGAUUUAUCGGUGAUGGAUGGGGAUGCGUCUGAUUAGCUUGUUGGCGGGGUAACGGCCCACCAAGGCGACGAUCAGUAGGGGUUCUGAGAGGAAGGUCCCCCACAUUGGAACUGAGACACGGUCCAAACUCCUACGGGAGGCAGCAGUGAGGAAUAUUGGUCAAUGGACGAGAGUCUGAACCAGCCAAGUAGCGUGCAGGAUGACGGCCCUAUGGGUUGUAAACUGCUUUUAUAAGGGAAUAAAGUGAGUCUCGUGAGACUUUUUGCAUGUACCUUAUGAAUAAGGACCGGCUAAUUCCGUGCCAGCAGCCGCGGUAAUACGGAAGGUCCGGGCGUUAUCCGGAUUUAUUGGGUUUAAAGGGAGCGUAGGCCGGAGAUUAAGCGUGUUGUGAAAUGUAGAUGCUCAACAUCUGCACUGCAGCGCGAACUGGUUUCCUUGAGUACGCACAAAGUGGGCGGAAUUCGUGGUGUAGCGGUGAAAUGCUUAGAUAUCACGAAGAACUCCGAUUGCGAAGGCAGCUCACUGGAGCGCAACUGACGCCGAAGCUCGAAAGUGCGGGUAUCGAACAGGAUUAGAUACCCUGGUAGUCCGCACGGUAAACGAUGGAUGCCCGCUGUUGGUCUGAAUAGGUCAGCGGCCAAGCGAAAGCAUUAAGCAUCCCACCUGGGGAGUACGCCGGCAACGGUGCAACUCAAAGGAAUUGAAGGA
rnacentral:rRNA from 1 species